GAAGAUAUGAGGCAGCGUUGAACUCUCUAUUUCAGUUAGUAUUGUCAAAAGGUGCCGAAAAUGCUUAUUUGAAUUCCUUGUUUGGAAGGUUGAUGCUAUGUAAGACAUUCUAUCAUUAUGCAAUUUAGUUGGUAUAAGCAUUGAACAUGUUUUUGUUUGUAUGGGUUCUUUUGCUUUGACAUUAAUCUCAUGUAUGCAUUUUUCUAAAAAAAUAAUAUGAUAAAUUGUGACUGAAUAGUUUAGGCAAAGGUGUAUGCCAGCUACUCUAGGAUAAGUAAAUUUUUUUUUGCUAAGGUUUGCCUUCUAACAGUUCUCUCAUUUCACAAAUAUGAAGUGGUAAUAUGUUUGUCUCCUAUUUUAUUUUUUUUAUGUAUUGUUAAUAUGUGAC